GACGAACGCUGGCGGCGUGCCUAAUACAUGCAAGUUGAGCGCUGAAGGUUGGUACUUGUACCAACUGGAUGAGCAGCGAACGGGUGAGUAACGCGUGGGGAAUCUGCCUUUUAGCGGGGGACAACAUUUUGAAACGACUGCUAAUACCCCAUAAACACUUUACACACAAGUUUAACGUUUGAAAGAUCCAAUUGCAUCACUCAAAGAUGAUCCCGCGUUGUAUUAGCUAGUUGGUGAGGUAAAGGCUCACCAAGGCGAUGAUGCAUAGCCGACCUGAGAGGGUGAUCGGGCACAAUGGGAAUGGGGCACGGGCCAAACUCCUUCGGGAGGCAGCAGUAGGGAAUCUUCGGAAAUGGACGAAAGGCUGACCGGGCAACGCCGCGGGAGUGAAGGAGGUUUUCGGAUCGUAAAACUCUGUUUGUAGAGAAGAAAGUUGGGGAGAGUGAAAAGCUGAUCAAGUGACGGUAACUACCCAGAAAGCAACGGCUAACUACGUG
rnacentral:rRNA from 1 species